rnacentral:rRNA from 1 species
AUUGAACGCUGGCGGCGUGCCUAAUACAUGCAAGUCGAGCGAAGCGGCGGUUGCGUGAGCAACGCGUGGGUAACCUGCCCUAAAGUCUGGGAUCUCAUUUGGAAACAGAUGCCAAUACCGGAUAUUAAAGGACGGUCUUGCGAUGCAUUAGCUAGUUGGUAAGGUAACGGCCUACCAAGGCGAUGAUGCAUAGCUGAGUUGAGAGGAUGAUCGGCCACAUUGGGACUGAGAAACGGCCCAAACUCCUACGGGAGGCAGCAGUAGGGAAUCUUCCACAAUGGACGAAAGUCUGAUGGAGCAAUGCCGCGUGAGUGAAGAAGGUUUUCGGAUCGUAAAGCUCUGUUGUUGGUGAAGCGGUAAUCAACCAGAAAGUCACGGCUAACUACGUGCCAGCCGCCGCGGUAAUAC